AGUGUAAAGGCAUAAGGGAGCUUGACUGCGAGACCUACAAGUCGAGCAGGGUCGAAAGACGGACUUAGUGAUCCGGUGGUUCCGCAUGGAAGGGCCAUCGCUCAACGGAUAAAAGCUACCCCGGGGAUAACAGGCUUAUCUCCCCCAAGAGUUCACAUCGACGGGGAGGUUUGGCACCUCGAUGUCGGCUCAUCGCAUCCUGGGGCUGUAGUCGGUCCCAAGGGUUGGGCUGUUCGCCCAUUAAAGCGGUACGCGAGCUGGGUUCAGAACGUCGUGAGACAGUUCGGUCCCUAUCCGUCGUGGGCGUAGGAAAUUUGAGAGGAGCUGUCCUUAGUACGAGAGGACCGGGAUGGACAUACCUCUGGUGUACCAGUUGUCGUGCCAACGGCAUAGCUGGGUAGCUAUGUAUGGACGGGAUAAGUGCUGAAAGCAUCUAAGCAUGAAGCCCCCCUCAAGAUGAGAUUUCCCAACUUCGGUUAUAAGAUCCCUCAAAGAUGAUGAGGUUAAUAGGUUCGAGGUGGAAGCGUAGCGAUACGUGGAGCUGACGAAUACUAAUCGAUCGAAGACUUAAUCAAUUU
rnacentral:rRNA from 1 species